UACGAGGGGGGCAAGCGUUGUUCGGAAUUAUUGGGCGUAAAGGGCGCGUAGGCGGUGCGGUAAGUCACCUGUGAAAACUCUGGGCUCAACUCAGAGCCUGCAGGCGAAACUGCCGUGCUUGAGUGUGGGAGAGGUGCGUGGAAUUCCGGGUGUAGUGGUGAAAUGCGGUAGAGAUCCGGAGGAACACCAGUGGCGAAGGCGACAG
rnacentral:rRNA from 1 species